UACGGAGGGGGCUAGCGUUGUUCGGAAUUACUGGGCGUAAAGAGCUCGUAGGCGGUCUGUCACGUCGGAUGUGAAAGCCCGGGGCUUAACCCCGGGUCUGCAUUCGAUACGGGCAGACUUGAGGCAUUCAGGGGAGAACGGAAUUCCUGGUGUAGCGGUGAAAUGCGCAGAUAUCAGGAGGAACACCGGUGGCGAAGGCGGUUCUCUGGGAAUGUCCUGACGCUGAGGAGCGAAAGUGUGGGGAGCGAACAGG
rnacentral:rRNA from 1 species